GAUGAACGCUGGCGGCGUGCUUAACACAUGCAAGUCGAACGAUGAAGCCCAGCUUGCUGGGUGGAUUAGUGGCGAACGGGUGAGUAACACGUGAGUAACCUGCCCUUAACUCUGGGAUAAGCCUGGGAAACUGGGUCUAAUACCGGAUAGGAGCGUCCACCGCAUGGUGGGUGUUGGAAAGAUUUAUCGGUUUUGGAUGGACUCGCGGCCUAUCAGCUUGUUGGUGAGGUAAUGGCUCACCAAGGCGACGACGGGUAGCCGGCCUGAGAGGGUGACCGGCCACACUGGGACUGAGACACGGCCCAGACUCCUACGGGAGGCAGCAGUGGGGAAUAUUGCACAAUGGGCGCAAGCCUGAUGCAGCGACGCCGCGUGAGGGAUGACGGCCUUCGGGUUGUAAACCUCUUUCAGUAGGGAAGAAGCGAAAGUGACGGUACCUGCAGAAGAAGCACCGGCUAACUAAGUG
rnacentral:rRNA from 1 species